GACGAACGCUGGCGGCGUGCUUAACACAUGCAAGUCGAACGGAAAGGCCCUGCUUUUGUGGGGUGCUCGAGUGGCGAACGGGUGAGUAACACGUGAGUAACCUGCCCUUGACUUUGGGAUAACUUCAGGAAACUGGGGCUAAUACCGGAUAGGAGCUACUGCUGCAUGGUGGGGGUUGGAAAGUUUCGGCGGUUGGGGAUGGACUCGCGGCUUAUCAGCUUGUUGGUGGGGUAGUGGCUUACCAAGGCUUUGACGGGUAGCCGGCCUGAGAGGGUGACCGGCCACAUUGGGCCUGCGAUACGGCCCAGACUCCUACGGGAGGCAGCAGUGGGGAAUAUUGCACAAUGGGCGGAAGCCUGAUGCAGCAACGCCGCGUGCGGGAUGACGGCCUUCGGGUUGUAAACCGCUUUCGCCUGUGACGAAGCGUGAGUGACGGUAAUGGGUAAAGAAGCACCGGCUAACUACGUG
rnacentral:rRNA from 1 species